UUGUCCUCAUAUGCAACGCUCAUUUCCUUCUCAGGGAACCGAGAUUACAUAAGUAACCAGAGCAUUUUAUUCUCAUGUCUCCUCCUGAAAACAAGUUCAACAAGUCUUUAUAAACAUCCAGAAGUGAAAGGAAUUUCAGAGCUGCUGUUCAACACGACAAUUCAGAUCAGGAAAAUAAAAACAUUUUAAACAUUAUCGGAGUUCUGCCCAUCACCUCUGCCCUGGAGUCCUGAUUGGCCACACACAAGAAAAUAAAUUUUUACAAAAGAAAGAAGAACGAAGCAUCUGACUACUGGACCGUCAUCCUGCAGAUUCCCUCCAAAAUGUUCAAGAACCAGAAUACAGCUUAAAAAAAAUACCACAUUAGUAAUGUUCAAAUACUAAACAGAGCUGAUUUUGACUUGCAUUAAAAGAAUCAAAACUUUGAAACUAAAUUAGAUUGUAUCAUAUAAAAUAUUUCAUAAUUAAAAGCUGAAAUCUGCAGCUGAAGCACUGCCACAUAGUUACCAGAACACCAUGGCGACCAAUGAGCAAGCAAAGAGCAGGAAGUUUGUUUACCCAAGGGAUUGUACUACUAAGGGCAGGGAAAAAAAAUACAGAGAGAGGACCUUGAGAGAAAAUCCUGAUACUCUUUAUGCUGACAACAAAGAUCAGACCAGUGGUGAGACAGGGGAAAGAUACGACUUAAUCUUCUACACCACACUGAUUGAUGGAUGGAAAUCAGCCAUUCGUGAUAAAUAUAAGCAUGUUGAUAAAGUUAGAGAAAAAUUUACCAUAUUUCAUGAUGAAAAACAUAACAAAAAAUAUCCCAUUCUCACAAUACAUUUUUACACAACUGGCAUUGUGCUUGUGCAAAGCUAUGAGAACAACCUAAAAUCAUUUGAGGAUUCCUUUGAGGAGCUGAAAGCCAAAGUGUACAGAGAGAGAGACCAGGCCCAAAUGAACAACCCAAAUAAUCCUCCACCCCCACCAUCUGACAAUCAGCGUAGAGAUGGAGAAGAAAGAGCUGAAGAAAGAGACCAGCCACAAACUGCUGUGGAAGAUACUAGCUCCUCCAUCACUGAUGAUUUCAUCAAACUGGAUCUUAAGUAAAUUGCAUAUAAGGGAAUGUCUCUGUUACAAUUAUUUUAUUAUCAUCUAAAUUACUCUAUGUAUCUUCCUUGUCGUAUGUUUAUCUCACUUUCAAUCAUGAGUCUGUGCAUCAAGGUUUUGUUGUCAGAUGCAUAUUACUUCUAAAAUAUUUCCACCUGUAUUGGUGUACUGUUGGUCCCAUCUUUGUCCCCUCUUUGUCUUUAUUCUAUUCUAACACAUUCCAUAUUUAUGAAUGCCACCACACCUCAAACAUCUGUUUUCCCUUUCAAACUGUGGCAACAUGUCUGUAUUUUUGCCAACUGCAUAAUUUACACAUCCAAUAUCUGUCUUCAUCAAAUUGUAUUAUAUUUUAUUACUGUGUUAUGCUCAAUUUUAUAAAACAAUA